AGCACUUUACGACUGGCAGGAGGCGGAGAUGACAGACCGCUCCAGGAACGAGCUAUAGAGCGAUCGCAUACCCCCCGCAAGGCCCUCCAGGACUCGCUGACUCCCGGGCAGAGGUCAAGGGUCAGGAAUGGGUCCAGCUGUGCGCCUGGAAAGGACCCAGCGUGCCCACGCUCCCGGCAAGCCAGGACUCAAACAUCCCCAAAGGGCGUCCGGGCUGAUGACGAUAGCUCCCAAUCGCCCUCCAGACGCACACUGGCAGGAACAACCGGAGGGACUUCCCUGACCGACCCCGCGUUUGCUCAGCUUUGAAUUCCCGCUCUGUAGAUCUGUCGCAAUUUAACCAGAAGUCACCCUGGUGAGGGGACAGUGCAUGGAGCUGUUUGAGAAAGAUCAGAGGAUGUGCCCUUGUUGGAGGAGAUGUGUCCCUGGGGGAAGGUCUUGAAACUUCAAAUGCCCACUCACUCCAUUCUCAGCACCUCUCUUCCUCAUGUCUAUGAAUCAGGAUGGGAAGUUCUCAGCUACUUCUCUAGCACCAUACCUGCCUGCCAGAUGCCGUGCUCCCUGCCAUGAUGGUCAUGAACUCACCCUUUAAAACUGUAAGCCCUCAAUAAAGUCUUUCUUCUACAAAAAAAAAAAAAAAAA
rnacentral:lncRNA from 1 species